AGAGUUUGAUCCUGGCUCAGGACGAACGCUGGCGGCGUGCCUAAUACAUGCAAGUCGAGCGAACCGAUGGGAGCUUGCUCCCUGAGGUUAGCGGCGGACGGGUGAGUAACACGUGGGCAACCUGCCUGCAAGACCGGGAUAACUCCGGGAAACCGGGGCUAAUACCGGAUAAUCCUUUCCUUCGCAUGAAGGAAAGCUGAAAGACGGCGCAGCUGUCACUUGCAGAUGGGCCCGCGGCGCAUUAGCUAGUUGGUGAGGUAACGGCUCACCAAGGCGACGAUCAGUAGCCGACCUGAGAGGGUGAUCGGCCACAUUGGAACUGAGACACGGUCCAAACUCCUACGGGAGGCAGCAGUGGGGAAUAUUGCACAAUGGGCGAAAGCCUGAUGCAGCAACGCCGCGUGAGCGAUGAAGGCCUUCGGGUCGUAAAGCUCUGUCCUCAAGGAAGAUAAUGACGGUACUUGAGGAGGAAGCCACGGCUAACUACGUGCCAGCAGCCGCGGUAAU
rnacentral:rRNA from 1 species